CGGGAUGAAAUGUAAGACUUAGACGGAACUGUUCGAACGGAACUGGACACUACGUAAGCGUAUAAAUGUCUGUUGCUCGACACGGGGACGGUGCGCUGUCACGGGAUCACGGCUGUCUACGCGGCACGGCCCGGUUUUAGCCCAUUCAACCAACAUGGCCGUCUACCGCUGGGAGUCCUCAGACAGGACACUGGAUGGGGAAUCCCGUGUCCAGGCCUGGUUGUUGGAUAAAAGCCUUUCUAACAACCAACGGGAUAAUGGUGCCCACGUAGGCGCCGAUUCCCUACUGGACUUCACACUGAAGGUUGCUCGACACAGGGGAAGUGGGUGGGUGCGCUAUGAGCUACCCCCCCCCCCCUCCAUUUUUUUUUUGCUCUAAAAACUCCAAGGGGGAUUAAUAGCUGUGUGGUAAAGCACUUGGCUUCCGACCCAAGGGUUCUCAGGUUAGAAUCUCUGAAGACUGGUAUUUUUAAUUUCGUGAUCUUUGUGAGGGCACUGUGUCUGCCCAACUGAGUACCUGGCAUUAAUGUGGUCAGGUAAAGGCGGUUGGUCGUUAACUGUCGGCUAUUCAAGACAGACAGGGCCGGAUUAAAAUAUGUAGAGGCCCCUUCACUUUUUUGAAAAGCUUUAAAAAGAAUCACUUAUGAUUAUUAUGAAUAACAAUACCGGUACGUUUAUCCAAAAGGAUGCCAUAUUUUAGAAUAAAGAAAUAGUUGGCCUACUUUUACUUUUAAUCUUAAAAAAAAAAAACACAAUAUUUUUUAAAUAUAUAUUUUAGUUUUAAAAAGUGUAGGCCUAUAGUCAUGAGUUUGUGGAUGGUAAGGCUUUUGAUAGUCGCACUGCCGUAAAUCCGGAGCUACAUUUACAUAUUGUUAUUAUUAACUGUUGGGGCACCUCAAGUGUCCUAUCAUUUAGUAAGGCACCUUUUCUCUCCAACCAACUGUUGGGGCACCUCAAGUGUCCUAUCAUUUAGUAAGGCACCUUUUCUUUCCUACCAACUGUUGGGGCACCUCAAGUGUCCUAUCAUUUAGUAAGGCACCUUUUCUUUCCUACCAACUGUUGGGGCACCUCAAGUGUCCUAUCAUUUAGUAAGGCACCUUAAUUUUCUCUCCUACCAACUGUUGGGGCACCUCAAGUGUCCUAUCAUAUAGUAUAUUUAUUUAUUUAUUAGUUUUAAUUACCAUUAUUCUAAUAUAAUCCAUAGAAUUUUUUUAAAAUCUGAAGUCCUGUUUAUUUCUCCCAGAACCACUUUAUUAUUAUUUUUUUUCAGUUUCAUUGACAAUAUACUUGAAAUGUUUAAUCUCAUUUUUUUUUAAACUGAAGGUUAGUUUUGUUUUGUUUACAGAUAUCAAGGUACAAAAUUACAUUCCAAUUUUUUAGGGUUCUUGUCAAUAUCUGCAAUUUAAAUCCAUAUAUAAAGUUUUGUUAACUUGGACUUUUUUAAAUACAACUUUAUAUUUCAUAUUUUUUUCUUCCUGAGGUUCAAAUGUAUCAAUUGUUUUUGUUGGCAGAUAUCAAGGUAGAGAAAUAGGAAUCUACUUAAGACUUUUUUAAAUGUUUGAUUAGUCAAAAUAUUUGCACUAUUCCUAUUUCCAAUAUCUGCUAAAGUGUCUGCUAAGUGUAACUAGUAAAGAUUAGGAAAAUGGUGAUUGCAAAGUUUUACAUAUGGACAAGAAGAAUGCUAAAGAUUGGUCUCUUGGGGCAUGAUUCAGUGAAAGAAUGUUGGACUAGCAGAAGUGUUAUGGAGUGUGUGUGUGUGUUACUUUGGUGACAGUGGGAAGAGGUUAGAGAUUGGUUGUGAAUGAUGCAAAAUAUGUGGUAUUGUUGUCAUUUUGUCUUAGUUAAGACAGAAGACUUCAGAACGUGAAACCAAAGGUUGUGUUAUUUUAGUGAGUUAGAUUUUGUUAUGAAAUGUUAUUACUGAAGUCUACUACAGUGAUUUCAUUUGAUCACAAGUUAUUUUGUCUAUGUUAUAAAUUUUAUAUUUAGUUUUGUUCACAAGGAAGUUAUUCAAGUUAUUUGAAGUUUCAUUAGUUAAGAUAUACUACGCCUACAGCAGUUUGAUGAUACAGGUCAAUGACUGUCAACACCAAGAAGACUAAAUUAAAUAAAGCUAUGUCUAUUUCUACACCAUUUUGUUGCUACUAACUUCUAACCUGGUGUUACUAACAACUAACAUGAUAUGGGAGAAGUAAAUUAAUAUCUGAUUCAUACUAAACUCUUCAAAUUCCAUAUAAUUGUAGAGAACUGACAUAAAAUAAACAUUAACAAAUGUGUAUUAUUUUUGUAACUUUUCCUCCACUUUGCUUUUUUUUUCCCUUCUAGAUGUUCAUCAUUUUUUCCUAAAGUCAUUUCAGUUGUAAAUUAUUUUGUGCAACAAGUUACCAGAAAAACGUCAAGCAAGAGAGGUCACUACACUAAGACUUUGUCUUCUCAUAAGAAUGGAUUGUUUUCUCAAAAAAAUGGAUGGCUGCCUGGUCAUGUGGUAUGUGUGCUGGACUGUUGUGUGGUCAUCUUGAUGCUCAUAUAUUGCCUGAUGCCAUUUAUUUUGCUGGACGUUUGGUCAAUGAAGUAGAUUCUCUUCAGCUCUCAAGGAAUAUUCAAAACAUGUCAAACAAGGAUAUCAAGCAAGUGCAGUGUACAUACCAACAUGAUGAAAAGGUAAACAACAUGAAGAUUAGAUCAACAUGUUGAAGAUGUACACCAACAUAAUAAAGAUGUAAACCAACAUGAUGAUGUAGACCAGCGUGAUGAAGAUGGACCGAUAUGAAGAUGAAAUGUAAACCAAAAUAUUGAUCAAGAAUAGGGAAUAAAAUGUGAACAUCUUGAGAAGUAAAACAAUUCCUAGAGGCAAAAACACAGACAUGCCU